CUGAAGGAGGAUUCUGCACCCUCCCCUCCCUGUCUCCCUCUUCCCCCUCUGCCAGCCAAGGUGUAAGAGCCCGUCUGAAGCCCCUCAUUUUCCAUUCUGCCUUCCGAUUGCCACGAGAAAGAAUCCCUUCCCCCACUGCAGUUCCGGCUUAGAACAGGACACAGCGCAGGUGCAACCACUGAACCGUCACGCUGGCUGUUCCGAACAAGGCCUGGCAAGAACUUGGCAAGGAGUUGGCAAGGACUUGGCAAAGACCUGACAUGGACCCAGCUCGGGACAGCCUGAUGCGCGGCCUGCUUCUAAUCUCCGUUCUUAAGCCAAAUGAACUUUUGUGGUGACUCCCGUGGUCCUUCAUUGAAGACCCCUCAUCUGCCUCGUUACCACUGUGACAAACAAAGAAUGAGAACCCUCCUCCCAAGGACUGAGACUGAGACCCCUGCUACAGGGAGGAGGGGAAAUUGGUGGUCUGACCAUUAAUGACAUGACCUGUUUCCCUUCAGUAAUUUUAAUGGACUUAUUCUUCAUUGGAUUCGUCUUGCUUUGGUGGUUUCUGUGGACUCACCUGUUCCCUCGUGGCGAUUACAAUGGACUUUCAUUAUUACACUUGUUCCCCCCUCUUUCCUCUGUGGACUAUAACUGGACCCCCGAGUGGACCAGAACUUCGAAGACUUCCCCGACACGACAGACGGAUCCCCAUCGUCCGGACCACUGAGGAUCUCGCCUGUGUUGAAGAACUCCGAGGGACAUGAAGACCACCUAAUCCAUGAUAAAACUGGUAAUAUUUUUCUGCAUCCUACCACAACCCCAUGGCCAGAAACCAGCUGAGUGGCCGUGGUCUGAAAUAAUUGUGGUAGCAUGCAGAAAAAAGUGAAAGGAUCUCUUUAAGCACAAAAAGCUCCAGUUACUUCACAUGAACUUUUAGAAUCCAAUCUCACGUUGAUUCACAAGCUACUGCCUACUCCCAUUGGGAUGAACCUUACUUUGGUAAAGCAACUAUUACUUCAUCAAGAUCUAAUAGAGAUCCUAGGAAAAAUCAAGGAGAAUGGACAGAAAACUCUGGUAACUGUUCAUCAUGAUGUGCAAGAAAUACAUCGUGUUGUAGAAAGGGUGAAAAGUGAUGCCGUGCACAGGUGGUGGGAUACCCUUUUCGGGUGGUCGCUUACUGCCACCGGUGUCCUGAACAAAUUGUGUCAUCCCCUUGCUGUUCUUUUGAUUUUAGUUAUGAUUGGUUUUGUUUUAUCAGUAAUCUUGCUUAUUGUGAAUUGGAGAAUGAUGAAACGAUGAACAAAAUUGACAUCUAUAAUUAAUGCACACCACUUGGCCGACAUCCUUUACACUAUAGAUGUUCCCAGGACUGUAGACACAAGGAGAUUAUAAGUUUUUCUGUUUUCUCUUUCCUUUCCUUUUUCUCUUCUCUUUUCCCUGGGAUUGCUGCCAACACUUGACGAGUCCUGAAGACUCCACGACGACACCAUGGAACCCUGCUGAUGAAGAUCUUUCGAGGGCAAUCGUCAGUCACGGGGUGGUGUAAGAGCCCGUCUGAAGCCCCUCAUUUUCCAUUCUGCCUUCCGAUUGCCACGAGAAAGAAUCCCUUCCCCCACUGCAGUUCCGGCUUAGAACAGGACACAGCGCAGGUGCAACCACUGAACCGUCACGCUGGCUGUUCCGAACAAGGGCUGGCAAGAACUUGGCAAGGAGUUGGCAAGGACUUGGCAAAGACCUGACAUGGACCCAGCUCGGGACAGCCUGAUGCGCGGCCUGCUUCUAAUCUCUGAUCUUAAGCCACUGAAGGCUGGCAGUGAAAUGUCACUGUAGGAUCUUGCUGCA